rnacentral:rRNA from 1 species
AUUGAACGCUGGCGGCAGGCCUAACACAUGCAAGUCGAGCGGAUGAAGGGAGCUUGCUCCUGGAUUCAGCGGCGGACGGGUGAGUAAUGCCUAGGUAUCUGCCCGGUAGUUGGGGAUAACGUCCGGAAACGGGCGCUAAUACCGCAUACGUCCAUAUGGUGAACGGGAGGGUUCUUUGGACCUCACCCUAUCUGAUGACCCUAAGUCGGAUUAGCUAGUUGGUGAGGUAAAGGCCUACCAAGGCGACGAUCCGUAGCUGGUCUGAGAGGAUGAUCAGCCACACUGGAACUGAGACACGGUCCAGACUCCUACGGGAGGCAGCAGUAGGGAAUCUUGGGCAAUGGGCGAAAGCCUGAUCCAGCCAUGCCGCGUGAGUGAAGAAGGUCUUCGGAUCGUAAAGCUCUUUUAGUAGGGAGGAACAGAAGUGUAUUAAUACCUUGCUGUUUUGACGUUACCAAAACAGUAAGCACCGGCUAACUUCGUG